CCUACGGGAGGCAGCAGUGAGGAAUAUUGGUCAAUGGACGAGAGUCUGAACCAGCCAAGUAGCGUGAAGGAUGACUGCCCUAUGGGUUGUAAACUUCUUUUAUAUGGGAAUAAAAUGUUCCACGUGUGGGGUUUUGUAUGUACCUUAUGAAUAAGGAUCGGCUAACUGCGUGCCAGCAGCCGCGGUAAUACGGAGGAUCCGAGCGUUAUCCGGAUUUAUUGGGUUUAAAGGGAGCGUAGGUGGGUUGUUAAGUUAGUUGUGAAAGUUUGCGGCUCAACCGUAAAAUUGCAGUUGAAACUGGCAGUCUUGAGUACAGUAGAGGUGGGCGGAAUUCGUGGUGUAGCGGUGAAAUGCUUAGAUAUAACGAAGAACUCCGAUAGCGAAGGCAGUUCACUGGACUGCAACUGACGCUGAGGCUCGAAAGUGUGGGUAGCGAACAGGAUUAGAUACCCGAGUAGUC
rnacentral:rRNA from 1 species